UCUAUAGAGCCUUAGAAUACAAAGAGAGGGCUGGUCCUAAGAGAUAUCCCAUAUGGGUUGUAACACAUGGUACCUUGGUACUAGUAUAUAAGAAAAGGGUUGGCAUGGGAAGAAUUAUCUCAUACCACAUUCUAUUUGUGAAGUGCAACCUUGCUGGUCCUAACUUGCUUGUGUGGAGUUUGCUUUCUAUGUUUCAAUACUUUAAGUAGUUGCUAAUGGUCAAGAGAGUACAAGUGUUGUUAGGGAUAUCCCAUAAGGUUUGGUGCUGGUCUAUAGUGCAUUAGAGUACAAAGGGAGGGCUGGUCCUAGGAGAUAUUCCAUAUGGGUUGUAGUACUUGGUACUUUGGUACUAGUAUAUAAAGAAAGGGUUGGCAUGAGAAGAAUCAUCUCAUACCACACUCUAUUUGUUAAAGUGCAACCUUGCUGGUCCUAACUUACUUGUGUGGAGUAUGCUUUCUAUUUUUCAACAGGUUAUGGGCCGACAUUCUCUUACCAAGUAAGUUGUUUUUGCAUUAUUUCUUUGUUUCUUGUUUUUGGUGGUUGAGAUCUUAUGGUAGAGUAAUGCUUGAGAAUUGUCGAAGUCAUUGCUCCUGGAUUUGUGAGUGUAUGAGCUUAGUGCAAGACCUUGAUAGUGUCUUUGCUGAAGAAGUAUUUGAGAGUUUCAUGAGAAAGUAAGACAUUUUGAGUGAAGUGACGUUAGAGAGACGUUUGAAAGUCAUAAAAUCACAUUACAAACCAUUCUCCACCAUUUAGACGUAAUUUGGACUCAAAAUAUGCAAAAAGUUGCAAAACAGCGAAUUCUGGGUUUGUAGUUCAGCAAUCUUUAAGUAGUCAUAUCUUUUGCAUUACAACUCCAAAUCAAGAGUUUUUUGGACCUACUUGUAGCUUGAGAUGGCGUCUUUUGAGGGUGAUAGCUAAAGAGUUGUUGAAAAGUUUAGUGGUGGCAACUUUCACCACUGGAAGGCCAAAAUGGAGCUACUUUUGGCGUCAUUGGAUCUUUGGGAGAUAGUAGAUGAGGAGGAACUUGCACCUGGGGUAGAGGCAAGCAUCAAGGAGAAAAAGGACUUCAAAAGACGAGAGAAGAAGGCUUUUGGCAUAAUUGCCACCAACUUAGAUGAAACCAACUUUGCUCAUGUCAUUUCUUGCAAAGGAGCAGCAGAUGCAUGGAAGACUCUUUGCAAUGUCUAUGAAAGUAGGAAUCUCUCCAAUGUGCUAUGGUCAAGGCAAAAAUUCUUCACCAUGAAGAUGGAAGAAGGUGAAGAUCUCAUGGCUCAUGUGAAUAAGAUAAAAGCACUUUCAAACCAACUUGCUGUUGUUGACAAGCUUUUACUUGAAGAAGAUGUUGUGAUGACAUUGCUCUCAAGCCUUCCGGACAGCUAUUCCUCCCUCAUUAUGGCAUUGGAGUCCAUUUCAAGGAAAGACCUCACUUUGGACUAUGUUACGAUAAGACUAGCCCAUGAAGUGACCAAAAGAAAGCAAAAGGAGUCUAUUGGGGAGCAAUCAGCACUAUUUACAAGACCAAGUAAGGCAAGUGCCCCUUUUCAACGUUAUCCUCGUAAAACUUGUUACAUUUGUGGAAAACCAGGCCAUUUUGCUAGAAAUUGUUUCAAGGCAAAGAGAGGAGAAAGAGAGAAUGCCAACAAACCUUUUCAUGACCAUGGAGGUGAAGACUUUGCAUUCAUGGCAAAAAAAACUCCUUCCAUGCUUGAUAUGAGCAAGUGGAUUGUGGAUUUCGGAUGUACCAAACACAUGACUCCAUACAAGUGUUCAUUUAACACUCAUCAACCAACUCCAGCAACCAAGGUUUGGUUACGUGAUAAUGGUAUGGUACAAGCCAUUGGAAUGGGCACCAUUGUAGUGGAGGUGGUGGUGAAGGGCAUAAGCAAGAGAAUCACUCUCAAGGAUGUGUUGCAUGUGCCAAAGAUGAAGAAGAACCUCCUUUCGGUGAGUAAACUUAUAACUCAUGGGUGCAAAGUGCAAUUUAAUAUGAAUGGAUGUUUUGUGAGAACCAUGGAAGGCAAAGAAGUAGCAAAAGAAACUAGGAUUGGUAAUCUCUAUAUUAUCAAUUGUAAGAAGAUCAAUGGAGUGGAGGUUGCUGCCUUUGCUGAAUUUCCAUCAAAUGAAGAUAAGGUGGGCAUUUGACAUCAAAGACUUGGGCAUUUGAAUGCCAAAAGCAUGAAGGAGCUUCAAUCCAUAGAAAGUGGCUUAGACCUUGGCCAUUCUACCAUGAAUCUUGCUUGUGAGGGAUGUGUUCAAGGCAAACAACAUAGGACACCAUUUCCUAGUGGAGUUGCUACAAGAGGAAACCAAUUGCUGGAGCUUGUGCAUUCGGAUGUUUGUGGACCCAUAAGGACACCAUCUAUGAGUGGAGCAAGGUACUUUGUCACAUUUAUUGAUGACUUCUCAAGGAAGGUAUGGAUUUACAUCAUCAAUGCCAAGAGUGAGUGUUUUGUCAAGUUUAAGGAGUGGAAUGUACUUGUGGAGAAGCAAUGAGAGCACAAGAUUAAGGUGUUGCGAUCGGACAAUGGAGGUGAGUAUUUGUCCAAACACUUUGAUGAGUUAUUGAAGCAAAAAGGCAUUGUAAGACAAACCUCUACUCCCUACACUCCACAACAAAAUAGAGUUGCUGAAAGAGCAAAUCGCACUAUUGUGGAGAUGGCAAGGACUAUGAUUCAUGCUCAAAAACUUGGGUAUGAAUAUUGGGCGGAAGCUGUGGUAAAUGCUGUGUAUACAAGAAAUAGGUAUCCCACAAGUGCACUUGAAGGAUCACAACCAGCAAGAAGUCCUUGGCUUGCAACACAUACAAAGAAUGGUCAGCUUCACUUCUUAUAAAACCUUCCUUCACAAAGAAUGAGUCAAUGCAUUGAUACCAUGCUCUUGGUGAUUGCUUGAGUCCAUACAAUGACUUCUUCAACUUGCAUACAAGGUUGGGUUUGUCUUGAUCAAUAAAUCCUUGAGGUUGCUCCAUGUAGAUGUCUUCUUUCAAUUCUCCAUUCAAGAAGGCUGGCUUGACGUCCAUUUGAUGCAUCUCCAAGUCUAUUGAUGCUCCAAUUGCUACUAUGGUUCUAAUGGUAGUGAAUUUGGCCACUGGAGCAAAUGUCUCAUUAAAAUCUACUCCAGCAACUUGUGAGUAGCCUUUGGCAACCAAUCUUGCCUUGUACCUCACAACAUUGCCUAUAGCAUCUCUCUUGGUUCUAAACACCCACUUACAUCCAAUUGCUGAACGAUUUGGUGGAAGUGGAGUCAACUCUCAUGUCUUGUUGUUCAUAAGAAAUUUGUACUCUUCUUGCAUAGCAAUCUCCCACUUCAUUGCAUCACCACACCUCAUUGCAUCACACAAAGUCAAUGGAUCAUCAAGAAGAGCAACAUUAGCCUGAUCUUCACUUACUUGUGGAAAGAUGUGGUUCUUCCACCAUUCACCUUGUGGUCUUCUUUCACGUGUUGGAUAUCUUCUUUCAUGCAAAGAAGAUGAGCCUUCAUGCACCUCUUGCUGCCUUCUAUGGCUCAUACACUUCCUUCUCUCAUUCAUUGGUUGAUAUUCUUCAUCUUCAUUCUCUUCAUUGUCUUUGUUGUAUCUUGCUGGAAUUGAAGUCUUUAUAGAGUUGGGCUCUUUUUCAAUGAUAUCUUCAUUUCCAUCUUCAAUUUGAGAAUGCUCUUCUUCAUCUUCUUCUUUGUUUGCUGAAAUUGAAGAUGUGUCCACAAACACACCACUACUCCCACUUGAACACAUCUCCCACUUUUCACUUGCACUCUUAUACUCCAAGAACUCUACAUCACGACUUUUGAUGAUCUUUUUGGUGUCUAAACACAUGAGCCUAUAUGCCUUGGUGCCUUCACAAUAUCCAAGGAAUGCACAUCUUGUGCCCAUUGCAUCAAGUUUGCCUCUCAUACUAUCUGGAACUUUAGCAUAUGCAAUGCAUCCAAAAAUCCUCAUAUGAGAUAAACAAGGUUUCUUACCAGUCCAAGCUUCUUCGGGAGUCAUUCCUUCAAGUGCACUUGUGGGACACCUAUUUCUUGUAUAUACGGCAUUUACCACAGCUUCCGCCCAAUACUCAUAUCCAAGCUUUUGAGCAUGAAUCAUACUCCUUGCCAUCUCCACAAUGGUGCGAUUUGCUCUUUCAGCAACUCCAUUUUGUUGUGGGGUAUAGGGAGUGGAGGUUUGUCUUGCAAUGCCUUCAUGCUUCAAUAACUCAUCAAAGUCUUUGGACAAAUACUCACCUCCAUUGUCCGAUCGCAGCACCUUAAUCUUGUGCUCACAUUGCUUCUCCACAAGUGCUUUCCACUCCUUAAACUUAGCAAAACACUCACUUUUGGCCUUGAUGAUAUAAAUCCAUACCUUCCUUGAAAAGUCAUCAAUAAAUGUGACAAAAUAUCUUGCUCCACUCAUAGAUGGUGUUUUCAUGGGUCCACAAACAUCCGAAUGCACAAGCUCCAGCAAUUGAUUUGCUCUUGUUGCAAUUCCACUAGGAAAUGGUGUCCUAUGUUGUUUGCCAUGAAUGCAAAGUCAUCACCUCCAUGGUCAUGAAAAGCAUUAUUGGCAUUCUCUCUUUCUCCUCUCUUUGCCUUGAAACAAUUCCUAGCAAAAUGCCCUGGUUUUCCACAAAUAUAACAAGUUUUGGGAAGAUUAUGUUGAAUGGAAGUACUUGCCUUACUUGGUCUCGUGAAUAGUGCUGAUUGCUCUUGAUAAUAUAGAGAUUGCCAUCUCUUGGUUACUUCAUGGGCUAGUCUUGCCGUGACAUAGUCCAAAGUGAGGUCUUUCCUUGAAAUGAACUCCAAUGCCACAAUGAGGGAGAAAUAGGAGUCCGGAAGGCUUGAGAGCAAUGUCAUCACAACAUCUUCUUCAAGUAAAGGCUUGUCAACAACAGCAAGUUGGUUUGCAAGUGCUUUUACUUUAUUCACAUGAGCCAUGAGAUCUUCACCUUCUUCCAUCUUCACGGUGAAGAACUUUUGCCUUGACCAUAGCACAUUGGAAAGAUUCCUACUCUCAUAGACAUUGCAAAGAGUCUUCCAUGCAUCUGCUGCUCCUUUACAAGAAAUGACAUGAGCAAAGUUGGUUUCAUCUAAGAUGGUGGCAAUUAUGCCAAAAGCCUUCUUUUCUCGUCUUUUGAAGUCCUUUUGCUCCUUCAUGCUUGCCUCUAAUCCAGGUGCCUCUUCCUCCUCACAUAAUAUCUCCCAAAGAUCCAAUGACGCAAAAAGUAGCUCCAUUUUGGCCUUCCAGUGGUGAAAGUUGUCACCUCUAAAAUUUUCUACCAUUCUUAAGCUAUCACUCUCAAAAGAUACCAUCUCAAGCUACAAGUAGGUCCAAAAAUCUCUUGAUUUGGAGUUGUAAUGCAAAAGAUAUGACUACCCAAAGAUUGCUAAACUACAAACUCAAAAUUCGCUGUUUUGCAACUUUUUGCAUAUUUUGAGUGCAAAUCACGUCUAAAUUGUGGGAAAUGCUAUGUCAUGUAAUUCUAUGGCUUUCAAACAUCUCCCUCACAUCAUUUCACUCAAAGGGAGUCAUUCCUUCAAGUGCACUUGUGGGACACCUAUUUCUUGUAUACACGGCAUUUACCACAGCUUCCGCCCAAUACUCAUACCCAAGUUUUUGAGCAUGAAGCAUACUCCUAGCCAUCUCCACAAUGGUGCGAUUUGCUCAACCAACAAAAACUACUUAAAGAGUUCUUUUCUCAACAGGUUUGUCUUUCAAUGCCUUCAUGUUUCAAUAAUUCAUUGAAGUGAUGAGACAAAUACUCACCUCGUGUUGAAGGAAAGAACUCAUUUAGUUGUUGCUAAUGGUCAAUAGAGUAUAUAAGUAAUGAGGGAUAUCCUACAAGGUUAGUUGCUGGUCUAUAGUGCCUUAGAAUACAAGGAGAGGGCUGGUCCUAAGAGAUAUCCCAUAUGGGUUGUAACACAUGGUACCUUGGUACUAGUAUAUAAGAAAAGGGUUUGCAUGGGAAGAAUCAUCUCAUACCACAUUCUAUUUGUGAAGUGCAACCUUGCUGGUCCUAACUUGCUUGUGUGGAGUUUGCUUUCUAUGUUUCAAUAGGUUAUGGGCCCACACUCUCUUACCAAGUAAGUUGUUCUUGCAUUAUUUCUUUGUUGCUUACUUUGGUGGUUGGGAUCUUGUGGUAGAGUGUUGCUAGUGUGUUGUUGAAGUCAUUGCUCCUGGAUUUGUGAGUAUAUGAGUUUUGUGCAAGACCUUGAUAGUGUCUUUGCUGAAGUAACACUAGUGUUUGAAAGUUUUAUGAGAUAGUGAGUCAUUUUGAGUGGAGUGACGUGAGGGAGACUUAUGAGAGCCAUAGAAUUACUUUACAAUUCAUUCCCCACCAUUUAGACGUGAUUUGGACUCAUAAUUUACAAAAAGUUGCAAAACAGCGAAUUCUGGGUUUGUGGUUCAGCGAUCUUUGAGUAGUGAUAUCUUCUCCAUUACAACUCCAAAUCAAGAGUUUUUUGGACCUACGUGUAGCUUGAGAUGGCAUCUUUUGAGGGUGAUAGCUUGAGAAUGGUUGAAAAGUUCAAAGGUGACAACUUUCACCACUGGAAGGCCAAAAUGGAGCUACUUUUGGCGUCAUUGGAUCUUUGGGAGAUUGUAUGUGAGGAGGAAGAGGCACCUGGGGUAGAGGCAAGCAUCAAGGAGCAUAAGGAGUUCAAAAGACGAGAAAAGAAGGCUUUUGGCAUAAUUGCCACCAAUUUAGAUGAGAGCAACUUUGCUCAUGUUAUUUCUUGCAAAGGGGCAGCAGAGGCAUGGAAGACUCUUUGCAACGUCUAUGAGAGUAGAAAUCUCUCCAAUGUACUAUGGUCAAGGCAAAAAUUCUUCACCGUGAAGAUGGAAGAAGGUGAAGAUCUCAUGGCUCAUGUGAAUAAGGUAAAAGCACUUGCAAACCAACUUGCUGUUAUUGACAAGCCUUUACAUGAAGAAGAUGUUGUGAUGACAUUGCUCUCAAGCCUUCCGGACUCCUAUUCCUCCCUCAUUGUGGCAUUGGAGUCAAUUUCAAGAAAAGAUCUUACUUUGGACUAUGUCACGGCAAGACUAGCCCAUGAAGUGACCAAAAGAAAGCAAAAGGAGUCUAUUGGAGAGCAAUCAGCACUAUUCACGAGACCAAGUAAGGCAAGUACUUCCAUUCAACAUAAUCUUCCCAAAACUUGUUAUAUUUGUGGAAAACCAGGGCAUUUUGCUAGGAAUUGUUUCAAGGCAAAGAGAGGAGAAAGAGAGAAUGCCAAUAAUGCUUUUCAUGACCAUGGAGGUGAUGACUUUGCAUUCAUGGCAAACAACAUAGGACACCAUUUCCUAGUGGAAUUGCAACAAGAGCAAAUCAAUUGCUGGAGCUUGUGCAUUCGGAUGUUUGUGGACCCAUGAAAACACCAUCUAUGAGUGGAGCAAGAUAUUUUGUCACAUUUAUUGAUGACUUUUCAAGGAAGGUAUGGAUUUAUAUCAUCAAGGCCAAAAGUGAGUGUUUUGCUAAGUUUAAGGAGUGGAAAGCACUUGUGGAGAAGCAAUGUGAGCACAAGAUUAAGGUGCUGCGAUCGGACAAUGGAGGUGAGUAUUUGUCCAAAGACUUUGAUGAGUUAUUGAAGCAUGAAGGCAUUGCAAGACACACCUCCACUCCCUAUACCCCACAACAAAAUGGAGUUGCUGAAAGAGCAAAUCGCACCAUUGUGGAGAUGGCAAGGAGUAUGAUUCAUGCUCAAAAGCUUGGAUAUGAGUAUUGGGCGGAAGCUGUGGUAAAUGCCGUAUAUACAAGAAAUAGGUGUCCCUCAAGUGCAUUUGAAGGAAUGACUCCCGAAGAAGCUUGGACUGGUAAGAAACCUUGUUUAUCUCAUAUGAGGAUUUUUGGAUGCAUUGCAUAUCUUCACUUUGAGAAUGUUCUUCUUCAUCUUCUUGUUUGUUUGUUGGAGUUGAAGAUGUGUCCACAAACACACCACUACUCCCACUUGGACACAUCUCCCACUUUUCACUACCACUCUUAUGCUCCAAGAACUCUACAUCACGACUUUUGAUGAUCUUUUUGGUAUCUAAACACAUGAGCCUAUAUGCCUUGGUGCCUUCACAAUAACCAAGGAAUAUACAUCUUGUGCCUUUUGCAUCAAGUUUGCCUCUCAUACUAUCUGGAACCUUGGCAUAUGCAAUGCAUCCAAAAGACCUCAUGUGAGAUAUGCAAGGUUUCUUACUAGUCCAAUCUUCUUGGGGAGUCAUUCCUUCAAGUGCACUUGUGGGACACCUAUUUCUUGUAUACACGGCAUUUACCACAGCUUCCGCCCAAUACUCAUACCCAAGUUUUUGAGCAUGAAGCAUACUCCUAGCCAUCUCCACAAUGGUGCGAUUUGCUCUUUCAGCAACUCUAUUUUGUUGUGGGGUGUAGGGAGUGGAGGUUUGUCUUUCAAUGCCUUCAUGUUUCAAUAAUUCAUUGAAGUGAUGAGACAAAUACUCACCUCGUGUUGAAGGAAAGAACUCAUUUAGUUGUUGCUAAUGGUCAAUAGAGUAUAUAAGUAAUGAGGGAUAUCCUACAAGGUUAGUUGCUGGUCUAUAGUGCCUUAGAAUACAAGGAGAGGGCUGGUCCUAAGAGAUAUCCCAUAUGGGUUGUAACACAUGGUACCUUGGUACUAGUAUAUAAGAAAAGGGUUUGCAUGGGAAGAAUCAUCUCAUACCACAUUCUAUUUGUGAAGUGCAACCUUGCUGGUCCUAACUUGCUUGUGUGGAGUUUGCUUUCUAUGUUUCAAUAGGUUAUGGGCCCACACUCUCUUACCAAGUAAGUUGUUCUUGCAUUAUUUCUUUGUUGCUUACUCUGGUGGUUGGGAUCUUAUGGUAGAGUGUUGCUAGUGUGUUGUUGAAGUCAUUGCUCCUGGAUUUGUGAGUAUAUGAGUUUUGUGCAAGACCUUGAUAGUGUCUUUGCUGAAGUAACACUAGUGUUUGAAAGUUUCAUGAGAUAGUGAGUCAUUUUGAGUGGAGUGACGUGAGGGAGACUUAUGAGAGCCAUAGAAUUACUUUACAAUUCAUUCCCCACCAUUUAGACGUGAUUUGGACUCAUAAUUUACAAAAAGUUGCAAAACAGCGAAUUCUGGGUUUGUGGUUCAGCGAUCUUUGAGUAGUGAUAUCUUCUCCAUUACAACUCCAAAUCAAGAGUUUUUUGGACCUACGUGUAGCUUGAGAUGGCAUCUUUUGAGGGUGAUAGCUUGAGAAUGGUUGAAAAGUUCAAAGGUGACAACUUUCACCACUGGAAGGCCAAAAUGGAGCUACUUUUGGCGUCAUUGGAUCUUUGGGAGAUUGUAUGUGAGGAGGAAGAGGCACCUGGGGUAGAGGCAAGCAUCAAGGAGCAUAAGGAGUUCAAAAGACGAGAAAAGAAGGCUUUUGGCAUAAUUGCCACCAAUUUAGAUGAGAGCAACUUUGCUCAUGUUAUUUCUUGCAAAGGGGCAGCAGAGGCAUGGAAGACUCUUUGCAACGUCUAUGAGAGUAGAAAUCUCUCCAAUGUACUAUGGUCAAGGCAAAAAUUCUUCACCGUGAAGAUGGAAGAAGGUGAAGAUCUCAUGGCUCAUGUGAAUAAGGUAAAAGCACUUGCAAACCAACUUGCUGUUAUUGACAAGCCUUUACAUGAAGAAGAUGUUGUGAUGACAUUGCUCUCAAGCCUUCCGGACUCCUAUUCCUCCCUCAUUGUGGCAUUGGAGUCAAUUUCAAGAAAAGAUCUUACUUUGGACUAUGUCACGGCAAGACUAGCCCAUGAAGUGACCAAAAGAAAGCAAAAGGAGUCUAUUGGAGAGCAAUCAGCACUAUUCACGAGACCAAGUAAGGCAAGUACUUCCAUUCAACAUAAUCUUCCCAAAACUUGUUAUAUUUGUGGAAAACCAGGGCAUUUUGCUAGGAAUUGUUUCAAGGCAAAGAGAGGAGAAAGAGAGAAUGCCAAUAAUGCUUUUCAUGACCAUGGAGGUGAUGACUUUGCAUUCAUGGCAAACAACAUAGGACACCAUUUCCUAGUGGAAUUGCAACAAGAGCAAAUCAAUUGCUGGAGCUUGUGCAUUCGGAUGUUUGUGGACCCAUGAAAACACCAUCUAUGAGUGGAGCAAGAUAUUUUGUCACAUUUAUUGAUGACUUUUCAAGGAAGGUAUGGAUUUAUAUCAUCAAGGCCAAAAGUGAGUGUUUUGCUAAGUUUAAGGAGUGGAAAGCACUUGUGGAGAAGCAAUGUGAGCACAAGAUUAAGGUGCUGCGAUCGGACAAUGGAGGUGAGUAUUUGUCCAAAGACUUUGAUGAGUUAUUGAAGCAUGAAGGCAUUGCAAGACACACCUCCACUCCCUAUACCCCACAACAAAAUGGAGUUGCUGAAAGAGCAAAUCGUACCAUUGUGGAGAUGGCAAGGAGUAUGAUUCAUGCUCAAAAGCUUGGAUAUGAGUAUUGGGCGGAAGCUGUGGUAAAUGCCGUGUAUACAAGAAAUAGGUGUCCCUCAAGUGCAUUUGAAGGAAUGACUCCCGAAGAAGCUUGGACUGGUAAGAAACCUUGUUUAUCUCAUAUGAGGAUUUUUGGAUGCAUUGCAUAUCUUCACUUUGAGAAUGUUCUUCUUCAUCUUCUUGUUUGUUUGUUGGAGUUGAAGAUGUGUCCACAAACACACCACUACUCCCACUUGGACACAUCUCCCACUUUUCACUACCACUCUUAUGCUCCAAGAACUCUACAUCACGACUUUUGAUGAUCUUUUUGGUAUCUAAACACAUGAGCCUAUAUGCCUUGGUGCCUUCACAAUAACCAAGGAAUAUACAUCUUGUGCCUUUUGCAUCAAGUUUGCCUCUCAUACUAUCUGGAACCUUGGCAUAUGCAAUGCAUCCAAAAGACCUCAUGUGAGAUAUGCAAGGUUUCUUACUAGUCCAAUCUUCUUGGGGAGUCAUUCCUUCAAGUGCACUUGUGGGACACCUAUUUCUUGUAUACACGGCAUUUACCACAGCUUCCGCCCAAUACUCAUACCCAAGUUUUUGAGCAUGAAGCAUACUCCUAGCCAUCUCCACAAUGGUGCGAUUUGCUCUUUCAGCAACUCCAUUUUGUUGUGGGGUGUAGGGAGUGGAGGUUUGUCUUUCAAUGCCUUCAUGUUUCAAUAAUUCAUUGAAGUGAUGAGACAAAUACUCACCUCGUGUUGAAGGAAAGAACUCAUUUAGUUGUUGCUAAUGGUCAAUAGAGUAUAUAAGUAAUGAGGGAUAUCCUACAAGGUUAGUUGCUGGUCUAUAGUGCCUUAGAAUACAAGGAGAGGGCUGGUCCUAAGAGAUAUCCCAUAUGGGUUGUAACACAUGGUACCUUGGUACUAGUAUAUAAGAAAAGGGUUUGCAUGGGAAGAAUCAUCUCAUACCACAUUCUAUUUGUGAAGUGCAACCUUGCUGGUCCUAACUUGCUUGUGUGGAGUUUGCUUUCUAUGUUUCAAUAGGUUAUGGGCCCACACUCUCUUACCAAGUAAGUUGUUCUUGCAUUAUUUCUUUGUUG
rnacentral:lncRNA from 1 species